CCCCGCAACAACUGUGGAUGAUGGGGCUCCUCCUGAAUCCUGUUGAUGCUCCAGACCUGACAGAGGAAAUUGAGGAUGCAGAUCUUCAUUUCAACACUGCCAGCGAGCAAGAUGUGAGCAGUCCUGGAGUGAUUCUUCCGCCCAUUGAAUGUCCUCUCUCUGAGCAGGACAUGACAGGCUUAAGGAACACUAUUGAUGUUACAGGACCAUCAGAUUCCUAUGGGCGAGACAUUUAUUUGGCUGUAUUGAACUACGUGCUAAAUCAUGUACCGUAGAUGCAGGAAUUUUGUUUCAAAAACCAGCUUAACACUAAUGUGUUACACAAAGUGUACAUUGAACUUGUUUUAAAUGUUUAUUGUUACUGACAGCAGUGAAGCUACAUGGUACAAACAUUCUUUAACUGCUUCUCAGAGUGCUGGGCUGCAACUUGUGAGUGAGACAACAUGAUGCCAAUUAGCCAGACAUCUAGAUGAGAUGUAAACUAAUUACUUUUAUGAAAUCUUGUUGCAAGAUUACCUUCUUAACCUUAACAUGUUUGCAUGAAAUGCUCAACAGUACUGCUAUUAAACAAUAAUUUAAUGUUUA